UACAAAGGAAUUGACGGGGAGCACCACAACAGGUGGAGCCUGCGGUUUAAUCGGACUCAACGCCGGGAAACUCACCAGAUAAGACAGCUGAAUGAUAGUCGGGCUGAAGACUCUACUUGACUAGCUGAGAGGAGGUGCAUGGCCGUCGUCAGUUCGUACUGUGAAGCAUCCUGUUAAGUCAGGCAACGAGCGAGACCCACGCCAACAGUUGCCAGCUCGUCCUCCGGGAUGGUGGGGACACUGUUGGGACCGCCUCUGCUAAAGAGGAGGAAGGAAUGGGCAACGGUAGGUCAGUAUGCCCCGAAUAUCCCGGGCUACACGCGAGCUACAAUGGUUGGUACAAUGGGUAUCUACCCCGAAAGGGGAUGGAAAUCUCCUAAAGCCAAUCUUAGUCCGGAUUGAGGGCUGCAACUCGCCCUCAUGAAGCUGGAAUCCGUAGUAAUCGCGUUUCAACAGAACGCGGUGAAUACGUCCCUGCUCCUU
rnacentral:rRNA from 1 species